rnacentral:rRNA from 2 species
AGGAUGAACGCUGGCGGCGUGCUUAACACAUGCAAGUCGAACGAGAGAGUAUGUUAUGAGACUUCGGUUGAAUAGCAUAUAAUCUAGUGGCGGACGGGUGAGUAACGCGUGGGCAACCUGCCUUGUACAGAGGGAUACCAUUUAGAAAUAGGUGUUAAAACCUCAUAAGCCUACAGAGUCGCAUGACUAAGUAGGAAAAACUCCGGUGGUACAAGAUGGGCCCGCGUCUGAUUAGCUAGUUGGUGGGGUAGAGGCCUACCAAGGCAACGAUCAGUAGCCGACCUGAGAGGGUGACCGGCCACAUUGGGACUGAGACACGGCCCAAACUCCUACGGGAGGCAGCAGUGGGGAAUAUUGCACAAUGGGGGAAACCCUGAUGCAGCGACGCCGCGUGAAGGACGAAGUAUUUCGGUAUGUAAACUUCUAUCAGCAGGGAAGAUAAUGACAGUACCUGACUAAGAAGCCCCGGCUAAAUACGUGCCAGCAGCCGCGGUAAUACGUAUGGGGCAAGCGUUAUCCGGAUUUACUGGGUGUAAAGGGUGCGCAGGUGGCAUGGCAAGUCACAUGUGAAAGCCUAGGGCUCAACCCUAGGACUGCAUGAGAAACUGUCAAGCUAGAGUACAGGAGAGGUAAGUGG